rnacentral:rRNA from 1 species
UACGUAGGUGGCAAGCGUUGUCCGGAUUUACUGGGCGUAAAGCGCGUGUAGGUGGUUCUGUAAGUAGGGCGUGAAAGCUCCCGGCUCAACUGGGAGAGGCCGUUCUAAACUGCAGAGCUAGAGGAUGGUAGAGGGAGGUAGAAUUCCAGGUGUAGCGGUGGAAUGCGCAGAUAUCUGGAGGAACACCAGUGGCGAAGGCGGCCUCCUGGACCAUUCCUGACACUCAGACGCGAAAGCUAGGGUAGCAAACGGGAUUAGAUACCCCUGUA